rnacentral:lncRNA from 1 species
AAAAGAGGUGGAGAACCUAUUCAGUUUAGGAUUACAAUGCAAUACGGUCUUUCUCUAAUACAAUACUCUUGACCACAUUGUUUGGAUUGAUAGUUUAUUCAUGUCUACUAUCCAAUGUGAUUCAUUUACUUAUAUGAUUACCUUGAAUGUGAUUUGUAAUGACUUCCUAAAUCUCAUUCAUACUCUGGCCAGAGAUUCUUAAUCAUAUUAUAGAGUAUUCUCCCUCAAACGGUUUGAAGGUUAGAGAUCCCUUGUUGCGCACUCACUUGCCUCCAUGGCUAAGUGGCUUAACCCCAACUAUGCUGUGGACACCCUCUGAUGGAGUGACUUUGACAUAGUCAAAGAUCAAGGACUUAACCACAAGACAACUAUGAUGCCUCAGGUCAAAGGACUAUUUUGCAUUAUCCCAACCAUAAGUUCUCAUGUGACAUGAGUAUGAGAACUCCUCGUUGAUCGUGUUCAGUAGACUCAU